rnacentral:rRNA from 1 species
GACAGAGGUGCCGAGCGUUAGGCGGAAUCACUGGGCUUAAAGCGUGUGUAGGCGGACUCGUAAGUGCUUUGUGAAAUCCCACGGCUCACCCGUGGAACUGCUUGGCAUACUGCGAGCCUUGAGCCACUUAGGGGCAACCGGAACAAACGGUGGAGCGGUGAAAUGCGUAGAUAUCGUAAGGAAGACCAGUGGCGAAGGCGACUACCUGGCCUGUAACUGACGCUGAGACGCGAAAAGCGUGGGGAGCAAACCGG